CUCAUCUGAGCAGAAGCAAGUCCUGAAAGUACAAAAUAAUAGUAUGGGGCGAUUAUACCCUCUCUCUCCCCCCACCUUCUGCAUUUUUAGGGCUUUCUGAAUGUAGGUGUAACUUGAUUUGAUGACCAUCUUUUUCUCUUUUGCUGUCAAGAAUGUGUCUUGGCAACUGCUACGGAGAAGCCCCGCACAGCCUUUCGUGAGCUAGAAAGGUUAAAACUGAGUUGACAGGACAUCCCCAGCUCUCUGCUGUUGGAAAUUUUUUUCUGCCUUUCCAUCACAAUUGCAAUCAGCACACUACCUGCUUUCUGCAGCAACAGAAACAGCUGGAUCACCCAUUUUGAUGAGGGAUUACUCUUCAGUAUUUAUAGUAACACCCAUUUCACCAAGUGGAGCCCAAAAGAAGGAAAAAACAAACAACUGACUUUUCUUGUAACAGGACAAGUUCAUGUAUGAAAAAAUACAGGGGCCCGGUUCAGAUACCUGACAUCAUCGUUUCCUCCUUAUUAGAAGGGAUAAGAUCGCUCCAAAGCUAUUUAAAAGUAUCUUAAUUAUUAAAAAGAUGAUCAUUCUUUACACAGAUGUUACCUAUGUAUUCCUUGGUCAUUUGAACCAGGACAACAUUAUCAUUAUCCACAUAAUCAAAUUGGAUGAUUUCAUCCUCCGGUUCUAAUCUGUAUGAUAUUAUUAACCAAUUUCCUGCGAAACAUGAGCUACCGGAGACUUGACGCCUCAUUGUUGGUUACUAUGUUGUGUUACUAUGUUUGGUUACUGUGGCUGAUAUCAGUUUUGGUUACUGUGCUCAAGUCUAUUUUUCUAAUAAGGGCAACUAUGUAGAAAGAGUGAUUGCAAGAUGUCUGGAGAACAUUUGGGUAACAAAUUGUUUUUUCAGCAGAUGAGGUAUUGUUAUCUAGUCAUUCCUGUGUAAAUAAAAAAGGUAACCAGGAAACUGUGGGAUACUUUUCAGAAUAAAUUGACUACCUUUCUA